rnacentral:rRNA from 1 species
GCCUAACACAUGCAAGUCGAACAAAGCGAUCUGGAUUGAGACUUCGGUUGAUUGAAAGAUUGACUUAGUGGCGGACGGGUGAGUAACGCGUGAGUAAUCUACCUUCCAGUGCGGAAUAACAACCGGAAACAGUUGCUAAUACCGCAUGAAAUGGCAGCAUCGCAUGGUGCAACUAUCAAAGAUUUAUCGCUGGAAGAUGAGCUUGCGUCCGAUUAGAUAGUUGGCGGAGUAACAGCCCACCAAGUCGACGAUCGGUCGCCGGACUGAGAGGUUGAACGGCCACAUUGGAACUGAGAUACGGUCCAGACUCCUACGGGAGGCAGCAGUGGGGAAUAUUGGGCAAUGGGCGAAAGCCUGACCCAGCGACGCCGCGUGAGGGAAGAAGAUCUUCGGAUUGUAAACCUUAGUCAACAGGGAAGAAGAAAGUGACGGUGCCUGUGGAGGAAGCCACGGCUAGCUACGUGCCAGCAGCCGCUGUAAAAC